ensembl:lncRNA
AGCAGGCUUAAGAGAAGAGAGAUGUUCAGUGUGUGCUAAUAAACUGAUAUUUUCUGUUGGUGAUUAAGCCAGGAAAGAAGGGAAGAAAAACACUGUUUUGUAUAUAGGAACCAACUAAGAGAUCUCUGGAGUUCCAUAUUUCACAUCUGACAUUAUGAUUAAAUUAUUCACUGUCACUUUGGCUGCUAUAGGAUAUGAAAAAUUUGCGUGGAAAGGUGUAAUAGAACUGCUUAGAACUGGAAUGUUCAUAAUUGGAAUUUACUAUUGCAGGAAAAUAGACAAUAAACUGGGUAAGAUUUAAAAAUGUAAUACAAUAAA